AUGUCUAUUCUUCCCCAAAGGGUUGUGUGCAUGUGUGUGUGUGUGUGUGUGCGCAUGUGCACAUGCAUGCACGCAUUUGUGUGUGUGUUGAGCACUGACAAUAGAUUAGCAGAAUAUAGAUCAAGUAAAUUAAGACAAAUUGCAAUUGCGAUAGCAAGAACUCAUAAACUUUAUCAACAUUAUCCCCAGACCCCUGCAGAAGGAGGACAGAGAACAAUGUUGAUCCAAACUACAAAGGGUGGAUCACUUCUAGAGGAUCCUAGAAGAGCUCACUGCCAGACUACAGCUUCUCCCAUGAUUGUUUGGGUAGCCAAUUCAUCUGCUUAUGUCAGAUGCUUACAGCUGCCAUGGCCCCCCAAGUUGAAGAUCAUAUAACCUCUGCCUGCCCAAAUGAACCAAGCAUACAACCACAGGGGGAACCUAACUGUUCCAGUGGAAGAGCGGGGACCAAUUUAAGAGGUGGACACCAUGUGGCAGAAUCCAGGAUCCGAUCAUAUUGA
rnacentral:lncRNA from 13 species